CGCUCCGAAAGCUUGUGAUUUCAAUUAAACCUGGUGUUGUGUGACUUCUGACUUGGGUCUGGUUGCUCAAGGAAUGACUGGUGACAGACAGGAAUCACGUGCAGUGUUUGUUAGGCAUUCCUGGGAAUGUCGACCUCUAAACCUGCAGCAAUAAUAAAUAUGCUGGACAUUCUUUUUAUGCAUCAGUGACCCCUGCUGCAUCACCGAAAGGGCCCAGCCCAGCAAGGCAGCUUCCCAGCAACUUGAGACUUCUGCAGAACCCUCUGAUUUCAGGCUUUAACCCAGAGGGUAUCUAUGUAUAACUAGAUAGUACCUCCCGCUGGCGAAACCAUCUACAGUGGCUCCAAGGGAUCUUUCUCCCCAUUGCUUUUUGCAAGAGUGUGAUCGAUAAGCACUUUGUGCAAUGAGUCUGUCCAUCCUGUGUGCCUUGUACAGCGGCUGCCUCUACCCCAAAGGAAAGGAGUCACAUAACUACCGAGCCGCUGGUGCUAUUGGAGGGUAGGGAGAGACAUUUGCGAGUGCAGUGGUCGCUGGACAAAGGACAAGAACGUCUGUGCAAAAUGGGUUGCCUUCCAGGGGCAUGUUGGUUCAAUUUUUGAUUCAGCAUUGCAAAAUAUCAAGAGAGGUUAGGGCGGAGAUUCGGGAACAUCAGACAAGGCACACUGCUGGAUCGGUGAAUCCACCCGAGGUUUAUUUAAAAUCUGGCUCGUUUGGUCUCUCCACCUCAUGUGAGGAAGUCGCCUAGAAUUAAAAGCUUAAAAAUUCCUGUCUGUAUUCGCAAACUGGACCCGACUUCUUUCUCCCUGAGUUCCCUGAGUGUGCAUUACAGAACAAACAUUACUGUGAUGGUGUCUGGGAUGCUUUCAUAAUCAAGCUUCCUUCUUGUGUAGUCGGUUGGUACCGUGAAACAGCGAGCGAAAUGUGUUUCUAAAGAAUAAACAUCAAAAAUGGAAACUUAACCCGAGUUCCAAAAUACCAAACAUCCAAUCUGCUCCACGACAUCUAAAAAAUUGCUGGGUUUUUGAAUCUAAAAUUGUUGGGGUUUUGAAUGCGAGGCUUGCGUUCUGCAUCAUUACCUCCUGAGAUUUCCUAACGACGACUGAUUUCUAGACUUCUGCUGUGAUUGUCCUAACACACUUUAGCACUUCUGCCACGACCAGCCCCCAGGAGAAGGUCUGUCUUCAGACAAUGGAAAUUAGUUUGUGUCAAAAUCUCUGCUGUGAACUCUCAGCAAGCAAGCUAGCGCAUUAAAGCUGUUGGUUGGAAGCUCAGCUUGUAAUGUUUGCAAAGUUCAGUAAACCAGUCAGGUGGCCCACAGGCCGUGCUUAUUAACAAACAUUGAUACACACAACGAAAAGGAAUGUAUAUUUGAUGUAUUUCAGUGGAUCUCAAGCAGGAUGGGGCUCCCUAACUUGGGGAUUUAUUGAGACAAAGGAGAUUUGCCUGAUUCCAGCUGUAUUAUGUAUAAUAAACAAAAUGUUAAGAUGGUAUUUUUGGCUACACUUCAGUAUAUAUUGGUAUGUACAAUUAAUAUAAGAAUCUGUUUAAUGAUGUUGCCUUUAUAUUAUGCGAAGUGAUCAAAACGGAUAAAUGCACAGACUGAACACGUGAGCUUCUUUCACUGUUUGGAAGGACAAUGCCUUGGCUGUCAAAACAAUCAUUUCUGUAAAUCCUAUUUAUUACGUACUGUUGCUCUGAAUUAUUCAAAAGGCUCAUGUCACACUAUAUAGUUUCAAUGGCAAGCAUGCAACUCCUGCUAAAUCAAUGCAAAGUGUUAAUAUUUCAGUAUUAUGAAGUGCAAUGAAAUGUACUGUAAAAUGAUUUUUAUCACAUUUUCUUGUUUCACCGCUUUGUUGUAACAUUUUACAUUUUAAGUUGCCUCGUGCUGAUAUUCUGCUAAUGUGAAAGGCAGAGAAGAAUAAAGUUCAUGCCAAUCGGUU